UACGUAGGGGGCUAGCGUUGUCCGGAUUUAUUGGGCGUAAAGAGCGUGUAGGCGGCCAGGUAGGUCUGGUGUGAAAACUCGAGGCUUAACCUCGAGAUGUCAUCGGAAACCAUCUGGCUAGAGUCCGGAAGAGGAGAGUGGAAUUCCGUGGUGUAGCGGUGAAAUGCGCAGAUAUCAGGAAGAACACCAAUGGCGAAAGCAGCUCUCUGGGACGGUACUGACGCUGAGACGCGAAAGCGUGGGGAGCGAACAGG
rnacentral:rRNA from 1 species